GCCUGGUUAGCUCAGUUGGUAGAGCAUGAGACUUAAUCUCUCAGGGUGGUGGGUCUGAGCCCCACUCCAGGCA